rnacentral:rRNA from 1 species
CAGUAGCCGCGGGAAUACGUAGGUCCCGAGCGUUGUCCGGAUUUAUUGGGCGUAAAGCGAGCGCAGGCGGUUAGAUAAGUCUGAAGUUAAAGGCUGUGGCUUAACCAUAGUAUGCUUUGGAAACUGUUUAACUUGAGUGCAGAAGGGGAGAGUGGAAUUCCAUGUGUAGCGGUGAAAUGCGUAGAUAUAUGGAGGAACACCGGUGGCGAAAGCGGCUCUCUGGCUUGUAACUGACGCUGAGGCUCGAAAGCGUGGGGAGCAAACAGGAUUAGAUACCCGCGUAGUCCCUGUCUCUUAUACA